UGUGUAAUCUUGCCACCUCUUCUUAAUCUCCUCUGCCUCUGUUAGGUCCCCUCAUUUUUCUCCUUUAUCAUGCCCAUCUUUGCAUGCAACGGUAACCAGGUCCUAAGCCAUCCAGUGACAAACCGUAAUGGAUGGAGGGCGGGGGGGGGGGGGAAUAUCCUAAUAAAUAAAUCAAAUAAAUGCUUAGAUCACAUCGGAAUUUCCCUGUACUAAGUCCAACCCUGGGUCUAUCCAGUCAACCAGCCAGCAGAAGCCAAGGGUUCAGGCAUGGUUUCUCUCCCACCUGGUUAUGCCACCAGGCAAAGCAAGGACUGUAUCACUAACCUAUGGCUCUUCAGCACCCUUUCCUUCUCUCCACUUACUGUGAGACUUGAUAUGAGCUCCUUGUUUUUCUGCUCUGAUUUAGGACAAGGAGAAAAAAAAGAAAGAGAGCAUCUUGGACCUGUCGAAAUACAUCGACAAGACCAUCCGUGUGAAGUUUCAGGGAGGCCGGGAAGCAAGCGGUGUCUUGAAAGGAUUUGACCCGUUACUGAAUUUGGUGCUGGAUGGUACCAUUGAAUAUAUGAGAGAUCCAGAUGACCAGUACAAGCUCACCGAGGACACCCGGCAGCUGGGGCUGGUAGUCUGCCGGGGGACCUCGGUGGUCCUCAUUUGCCCCCAGGAUGGGAUGGAGGCCAUCCCAAACCCCUUCAUUCAGCAGCAAGAUGGCUAGCCUCUAAUAGGGGCAGCAGUGGAAAUCUUGGGACUGAAAAGGGCAUCACCCAAGAAGAUCUCUGUUCAGUAUUUUUUACACUUGUUUUAUAUGGGAGGAAAACAUUGGAAUUUCUCGUUUUUUUACUUUGGGUUAGAUGCUGCAUAUUGCGAUGGGAAAACCUUGCAGCCAGAUGUCCAGAAUCCAUUUCAAAAAAUUCCCCCAUUGCAGAAAACUCCAGCCCAAGUUUAGAUCCAUGAAUUAAUCCAGGAAGUUUCAGUAAAGACUAACACAGGAGGAGAUCCGAGAAAUUUUUGUUCCUUUCUCCUUAGAGGCAGCUCCUCCAGGCUUCAUUUUUUUUCUGUUGACGGAAUCUACAUUCCUUUCCAGAGGGUGUGGAUUUGGGAGCACAUGCUGCUGUCUGGGUUUCUUCUUUUGUACGCUGCACAAAUUGUCAGGAAUGUUGAUGAAGCUAGUGCAGAACUUUCCAUGCCUGGCGGUGAAUUUUUCUUUAUUUUUUUCCAUUCUGGUGGAAAGGACUUGUGAGUUCAUUAAUAAUAAAAUCUAUGCUUGAACACUUGCUUUCUUUGAAUGUGGCUGUGAUGUUUUGGAAUGUAAAAGACAAAGAAGAGCUUCAGACAGACUUAACUGGGGACAGCAUGGGAUUUCAUUUUAAUAUCCCAUUUGGAAAAUCCAUCAAAUUUAUUUGAACUUAGAAUCAUGGAAUAGUGGAGUUGGACAUUCAUUUCUCUUUGAAUGUCAUAGAGAUGGGAUAGUGUAUUCUCUCUGAAAUCCAUAAUUUAAAAUAUAUAUUGUGAGAUAAUGUAGUUACAGGAAUCCCCAUCCUGCGCCCAGAGAAGACCCCCUGCCCAAAUCUUAAGGGGCGGGCAGGCAUAUACGGAAGGAGAUGCUCCUUCAGGUAACCAGGCCCUAAGCCAUUUAGGGUUUUCUAGAUCAUCACCAGCACCUUAAAUUGGGCCCAGACUUCAACUGGAAGCCAAUGUAGAUGGAAAAGGAACAGCGUUCUAUGUUCGUGACUGUUGGUCCCUCUGAACAACCCGGCAGCUCAAUUCUGGACCAGUUGAAGCAUCCGAACCAUCUUCAAGGGCAGUCCCACAGUUGUCCAGCUGGGAAGUUGUUCCCAGAGUGUGUGUCUCCAUU
ensembl:lncRNA